rnacentral:rRNA from 1 species
GCUUAACACAUGCAAGUCGAACGGUAGCAGGUCCUUCGGGAUGCUGACGAGUGGCGGACGGGUGCGUAACGCGUGGGAAUCUGCCCAAUAGUGGGGGAUAACCCGGGGAAACCCGGGCUAAUACCGUAUGCCCCCUACGGGGGAAAGAUUUAUCGCCAUCAGAUGGGCCCGCGUAGGAUUAGCUAGUUGGUGAGGUAACGGCUCACCAAGGCGACGAUCCUUAGCUGGUCUGAGAGGAUGAUCAGCCACACUGGGACUGAGACACGGCCCAGACUCCUACGGGAGGCAGCAGUGGGGAAUAUUGGACAAUGGGCGCAAGCCUGAUCCAGCCAUGCCGCGUGAGUGAUGAAGGCCUUCGGGUUGUAAAGCUCUUUUGGCGGGGACGAUGAUGACGGUACCCGCAGAAUAAGCCCCGGCUAACUUCGUGCCAGCAGCCGCGGUAAUAC